rnacentral:tRNA from 1 species
GCCGGGAUCGCAUAACCUGGUAGUGCGCAAGCCUGGAAAGCUUGUUUCCGCAAGGAUAUCUGGGUUCAAAUCCCAGUCCCGGCG